rnacentral:rRNA from 1 species
GAUGAACGCUGGCGGCGUGCCUAAUACAUGCCAGUCGAGCGAGCAGACGAGGAGCUUGCUCCUCUGACGUUAGCGGCGGACGGGUGAGUAACACGUGGAUAACCUACCUAUAAGACUGGGAUAACUUCGGGAAACCGGAGCUAAUACCGGAUAAUAUAUUGAACCGCAUGGUUCAAUAGUGAAAGACGGUUUUGCUGUCACUUAUAGAUGGAUCCGCGCCGCAUUAGCUAGUUGGUAAGGUAACGGCUUACCAAGGCAACGAUGCGUAGCCGACCUGAGAGGGUGAUCGGCCACACUGGAACUGAGACACGGUCCAGACUCCUACGGGAGGCAGCAGUGGGGAAUAUUCGGCAAUGGGCGAAAGCCUGACGGAGCAACGCCGCGUGAGUGAAGAAGGUCUUCGGAUCGUAAAACCCUUUUAUUAGGAAAGAAAAAAUGUGUAAGAAACUAUGCCCGUCUUGACGGUACCUAAUCAGAAAGCCCCGGCUAACUACGUG